GCAUAUCAAUAAGCGGAGGAAAAGAAACUAACAAGGAUUCCCCUAGUAACUGCGAGUGAAGGCGGGAAAAGCUCAAAUUUAAAAUCUGGCGGUCUUUGGCCGUCCGAGUUGUAGUCUGGAGAAGUGCUUUCCGCGCUGGACCGUGUACAAGUCUCUUGGAACAGAGCGUCAUAGAGGGUGAGAAUCCCGUCUUUGACACGGACUACCAGUGCUUUGUGAUGUGCUCUCAAAGAGUCGAGUUGUUUGGGAAUGCAGCUCAAAAUGGGUGGUAAAUUCCAUCUAAAGCUAAAUAUUGGCGAGAGACCGAUAGCGAACAAGUACCGUGAGGGAAAGAUGAAAAGCACUUUGGAAAGAGAGUUAAACAGUACGUGAAAUUGCUGAAAGGGAAACGCUUGAAGUCAGUCGCGUUGGCCAGGACUCAGCCUUGCUUUUGCUUGGUGCAUUUUCUGGUUGACGGGCCAGCAUCGAUUUUGACCGCUGGAAAAAGGUUAGGGGAAUGUGGCACCUUCGGGUGUGUUAUAGCCCUUAGUCGCAUACAGUGGUUGGGAUCGAGGACCGCAGCACGCCUUUAUGGCCGGGGUUCGCCCACGUUCGUGCUUAGGAUGCUGGCGUAAUGGCUUUAAACGACCCGUCUUGAAACACGGACCAAGGAGUCUAACAUGCCUGCGAGUGUUUGGGUGGAAAACCCGAGCGCGUAAUGAAAGUGAAAGUUGAGAUCCCUGUCGUGGGGAGCAUCGACGCCCGGACCUGAACUUCGGUGAUGGAUCUGCGGUAGAGCAUGUAUGUUGGGACCCGAAAGAUGGUGAACUAUGCCCUGAAUAGGGUGAAGCCAGAGGAAACUCUGGUGGUGAGGCUCGUAGCGAUUCUGACGUGCAAAAUCGAUCGUCAAAAUUUGGGUAUAGGGGCGAAAGACUAAUCGAAACCAUCUAAGUAGCUGGUUCCUUGCCGAAGUUUUC
rnacentral:rRNA from 1 species